rnacentral:rRNA from 1 species
CACGAACCGUACGAACGUUAUUCGGAAUCACUGGGCUUAAAGGGUGCGUAGGCGGCCUGGUAAGUUGGGUGUGAAAUCCCUCGGCUUAACCGAGGAAUUGCGCUCAAGACUGCCAGGCUCGAGGGAGUCAGAGGUGAGCGGAACUUAGGGUGGAGCGGUGAAAUGCGUUGAUAUCCUAAGGAACACCAGGGGCGAAAGCGGCUCACUGGGACUCUUCUGACGCUGAGGCACGAAAGCUAGGGGAG